rnacentral:tRNA from 1 species
GCCUUUAUAGCUUAAUUUAAAGCAUUACAUUGAAGCUGUAAAUAUGACAUAUGUCUAAAGGCA